UUUUAACUAAAGGGACUUGUUUUCAAAUAUUUCAUAUUUAAAAGAAAAGGUUAGUUUGUAAUUUAUUUUACACAAAGGGACUAUUUUUGAUCUUUUAAAAUUGUUUAGGGACUAUUUUUGAAAAGACUAAAUCACAUGGGAGUAGGUUUGUAAGGGUUUUAUCAAAUGGCUGAUUUUAAGUUUUGGCUAUACAAUUGCAGGGACUGAUUUCGACAACUUCAUCAAGUAUACAAAGGGGUCGACGCAUCAUCUUCUUCAUCUGUUUUGGGGAUCGGGAGGAACGAACGAAUCGGAAGCGAUGAAGGAGUUCCAAUGGUGGUCAUUCAAAUCGCGAGGAGGGACGGGGAGGUCGAUCUCCGGUGAGUCCUUCGUCGUCUUCUCCACAGAUCAAGGAAGGGGAAAGGAUCGAACGGUUGAAGAAGCAAACUGAGGUGGUUCGGUGAUGGUUGUCGUCAACAGCUGUGAUUGCGAGGGGGCUGUUCCGGUGAUGAACCGUAGCAGCGAUCAGUCUCCGACGAGCCUUCCUUGGUGCGUUUGGUUCGUCGGCAGCCACAGCUCGAGAAAAGGAAAGCACAUCGACAUUCAGGGGGCUUGGGUGGUUCCAAUCGAAGAAACUGGCGAAGGGCGAAGGAUAGAUGGAAGGAGGUGAUGAAGGUGGUGGUUUGCGAUGCCGAAAAUGGUAAGCCGAGGGCGGCAGUAGGCGUCUCCGGAGAUCCUCGUGUUUCUUCUUUUCUGGCCCGAUCGACAAUCACGAUGUUUCCCCAUUGCUUUGGCAGUUCCGAUCAACAAUAGGUAAGAAGUUUCUUUUGGGAUUUUGUUUGUUUUAACAGGAAUCUAUGGAAUGAACAAAAUGGUUGUUUGGGUUUGCUUUUGACAGAAAUUGAUAUAGGAGAAGGAUGUUUGGGUUUGAGCUUCUUUGACUGGAGGAGGGGCUGCUGCUCCUUAGCUCACCGGGAAACCACAAGAAAACCACCUCCAAUGGAGGUGCUCUUGGCUUUGCAUAGAAACAGAAAGAAGGGAGAGAAAGAGUGAGUUUGUGACUUUCCUAUGUGAUCAAAAGCAGAUAUCUAGAAGUUCUUGAGAUAUUGGAAGUACUUGGAAAUCUCUUGGAGGAUUGUGGAGGUACAUCACUAAUUUGCCCAUGUGUGAGAGGGUUUGUGUUUAUUGUCAUUGAUAUAGUAACGUUUAGUGAUCUAGUUCAGAUUUUCAGUUGACUUUGAUGAUAAACUUGUGUACAACAAGUUUUGGGAAUGAUCUUGUGUAGAUUGCAUUGCAUAUUAUUGGCUUUUAUUUGUACAUGUAGGUGUUUUGGUGAUUAAGAAAACUGGUAACAUAAAUGUACCUAGUUAUGUAUUUUGUUGAAUUUCUAUUAGUCUUCAUAUGUAUUAAUAGUUUCCUUAGUCAUAUACAUGUGUGUAUUUAUGUGUGUAUUCGUUUUAGAUUUUGAAGGCAAUAAUGUAUAUUUACAAUACUUAUACACUCCUAUAUCAAGGUUUAGCAUUUAUGAUGGUAAGGCAUAUAAAGAGUUCAGGAUUUGUAUAUAGUAAAUGCCCGAAUUGCCAUAUAUUAUUCAAUUAAUUGGUAUUUGAAAUGAUACAAAACAUAUGAAUAAAUAUGUAUAUAUUUAGUGUUUUAUAGACUUUUAAUUACAUAACAUAUACACAUUGUGUUUAACAUAAUUGUCUAUUUGACAUAUGCAAUAUGGAUUUUAUAAGAGCUUUAGCCACUACAUAUUAUAUUGUUUGAAAAAUACACUCUUCAUACAUAUAUGUAUAUAAAUUUACAUGAUUUUUGAAAUAUUGAACUAUUUUAUCGUUAAGAUUCGUCACCACCGAAUUCGAUUUCCAAACUAUUUUCGACAUGAAUUACCAAUAAUAGAAACUAUGUCGAAGUCAAAAUUUUAAGGUUUCAUGCUCAAUCUGGUACAAUUCUAUGGUUUUCAUGCCACUGAUUCUUGAUUGUAAAUUAGUGCUUAAAAUGAACUCGGAUGAAAAAUCAUAACUCUUUCAGUUCAUAAUAUAUAAAUUUUGAGCAAUUAAUCGUAGUACCGUUUAAACUUAUUUAAUAAACAUUAGCAUAUCGUACAUUUGAUCUAGAUUAUAGCAACACUUACAUUAACUGAUCGUCAAUAAUUGACCCAAUUUUGUCAAUUGUUACACCUAGUUUGUAUUAGUGUAUUUGUAUUCGGGACUUUGUUAUAAUUCCCGAUUAUUUGAGUUUGAAGACUUUUGGUUGUAAUGCUUAAUAAUGUAAAACUACCAAAGUUCUAACUAGACAACAGUCGUAUGUGUCCCUAUAUGAGUUUAUACAGUACGUCGACUAUAAGUGACUAUAUACAUGUUUAGACAGUAUUCCGACUGUAGGUAACCAUAACAAAUGUUUAGACAGUACUCCGACUGUAAGUGACCAUAUAUAUGUUUAGACAGUAUUCCAACUGUAAGUGACCAACAAAGUUUAUACAACACCCCGACUGUGAGUGACCAAAAUCGACAUAGUCCAAAUCAUCUUAUCUUAUGAGGUUGUCAACAUGAUCAUAUUAGAAAUACUUGUUAUAAUUUACACUUUUGUGUUACACCCCCGAAUCAGACGGCGGAAACGUCCGGGGGCUUGUGUAUGACAUCAUCUUGAAAUAUCAUUACAGUGAAUAUAAAUGAAACAUAACAUCAUCAUUACCAUGCAUAAUAUAAUACAACUGUCAUUGUUUACAUCAAGUACAAUCUUUUAAAUAACAUGACCAAAACAUUCAAUGUAUGAUGUUUAACAGUACACAAAACAAAAUCCCCUAUUCUUGUUGAUUCUUCUGCUUAACGAGUCCCUGAGAAUACAAGUUAUUUUGAAAACGUCAACAUAUAUAAUGUUGGUGAGUUCAUAAGGAUAUUUGAUAAAAUGAUUUGUAUAACUUUGUAAUCACAAGAAAAUCAUGUAUUUUCUUAAAAUAGUUUGGUAUGUUAUGUCCGAUCUUGUAUUAAUGCAUGUGUGUUAUUGUUUAAUAGAUUGUCAAAAGCGAUUGAAGAAGGUGUAAAUAGAAUAUCCCCGGACAACCCGAUGUUGCCCGUAAAAGAAGAAUAGUUAAUGUUGUCGUACCAACACCGAGGUGGGGUACCGGUAUGAGUAAGUUACCGAGCAAUCCAAUCAUAAAAGAAAAUAGAUAAUGUUGUCGUACCAACACCGAGGUGGGGUACCAGUGUG
rnacentral:lncRNA from 1 species